AGACUACCUCCUCCGUCUGAAAAUACUUGUCAUAGGAAGGGAUGUAUGUAGAUGUAUUUUAGUUCUAGGUACAUCCACUUUUAUUAAUUUGUGCGACAAGUAACUCCGGACGGGGGAAGUAUGUA
rnacentral:pre_miRNA from 1 species